rnacentral:rRNA from 1 species
UACGUAGGGGGCAAGCGUUGUCCGGAUUUAUUGGGCGGAAAGAGCGUGUAGGCGGCCUGAAAGGUCAGCUGUGAAAACUCGAGGCUCAACCUCGAGACGUCGGUUGAAACCAUCUGGCUAGAGUCCGGAAGAGGAGAGUGGAAUUCCCGGUGUAGCGGUGAAAUGCGCAGAUAUCGGGAAGAACACCCGUGGCGAAGGCGGCUCUCUGGGACGGUACUGACGCUGAGACGCGAAAGCGUGGGGAGCGAACAGG